UCUCCACCUCAACAUAUGCAUUCAACUAUGUUUUGAUUCUCUGAAUUUCCUUUUAAUGCUUUGAAGUUUUUGAACUGAAUUUUUUGUUUUUAGAGGAAAAAUCUGUCAAUUUGUUCUUGAGUAGGAUUUAGCUAAUCUCCGAAUAUCCCUUGAAUAGAUUCUGGAGAUUACUCCAUUAGGAGCCCCAAAAGAGAGAUAAUGAGCCUCGAGGUACCGAAUCCACUUAGAACAAAUUUGUGUGUGUUUUUAAGAGUUUAUCUUUUUAUUGAUUUCCAUUAAUUUCUUUUACAUAUUUCAUCCAUAUUUCUCCCCUUUUACAUAUUGUAUACAUAUUUCUUCCCCUUUUUGUCAUCAUACCAAAAAGGAGGUAAUCACACACAAUCAAUGGCACAACCAAUCAUCAAAUGGCACAGAAAUGAAGAUAAGAUGUCUACUCAUUGUAUUGAUAUGAAUGUGAAUACAUUUGAGCAUACAAUACGUAAAGCAAAGCAAUACAAAACAAAGCAAAAAGAACAUCUAUGGUCUCCUCGAGGAUGAAGAUCCCCCCUCGAGAAUGUAUCUCCCCCUCUCGAUGAGGUGGCUCCUCCUCUCGAGGAUGGUGCUCCUCCUCUCAAUCGGCUCUGCUCCAUGAGGAGGGUGACUGCAUCUG
rnacentral:lncRNA from 1 species